CAGCAGCCGCGGUAAUACGGAGGGAGCUAGCGUUAUUCGGAAUUACUGGGCGUAAAGCGCACGUAGGCGGCUUUGUAAGUUAGAGGUGAAAGCCUGGUGCUCAACACCAGAACUGCCUUUAAGACUGCAUCGCUUGAACGUCGGAGAGGUGAGUGGAAUUCCGAGUGUAGAGGUGAAAUUCGUAGAUAUUCGGAAGAACACCAGUGGCGAAGGCGGCUCACUGGACGACUGUUGACGCUGAGGUACGAAAGCGUGGGGAGCAAACAGGAUUAGAUACCCGCGUAGUCCCUGUCUCUUAUAC
rnacentral:rRNA from 1 species